UACGUAGGUGGCGAGCGUUGUCCGGAUUUACUGGGCGUAAAGGGAGCGUAGGCGGACUUUUAAGUGAGAUGUGAAAUACUCGGGCUCAACUUGAGUGCUGCAUUUCAAACUGGAAGUCUAGGGUGCAGGAGAGGAGAAUGGAAUUCCUAGUGUAGCGGUGAAAUGCGUAGAGAUUAGGAAGAACACCAGUGGCGAAGGCGAUUCUCUGGACUGUAACUGACGCUGAGGCUCGAAAGCGUGGGGAGCAAAUAGG
rnacentral:rRNA from 1 species